AAAAAGAGAAACUUUCAACUCUAUGGGUCACACAACUGAAUUUUCUUUGAUCUUCAGAAACAAAACAAUUCAGUGAACCUUGUAGGCAUGCUUUUCACACAGUAAAAAUAGAUGGGUUAUUUUUUUAACCCAAUAGAUGGGUUACACAUAUUGGGUCACUGUGUUGGGUUAUUUUCUAAAACGUUGGGUUAUUUUUUUAAACAUCGUUGGGUUGUUUUUAAUAAUAACCCAGCGUUGGGUUUAAUUGGUUCCCGCCGCGACAGUUCAAAUUUUAACGGUCGACGGUGUCUGACGACAGAAGAAGCUGCUGCUGCAUCAGUGUGAGACAUUGGGUGAAGGGACAACUACAACAGUGGAAUCUCAUACAUUAAACAUCCACAUGCCAAUUAACUGAAAUAUUUCAAGAGGAAGGAGUCAAUGAAGGAAGUUUUAUGCAACCGGAUGACACCAGCAUUGCUGCACUAACUCUAAGAACUCCUCCCAAGUUUUGAGCAUUUUCAACGGUGAAGCAGUGGAACAGAAGACCUUACUACAAGCAGUGGAUCUGUGUUUCAAACAUUUCUACAUGUAUGACAUCAACUACCCAAAGCCCCCUGCACUCAUUUGCAGCUUUAAUAUUCCAGGAGUUCCUUCAACACGUUACCUCUUCCUUAGAAACUUUGUAUUUAUUGAUCAGUAAAAACUUUUUAUGUUGCUGAUUAUCAGCAAGUCCAGCAGCCAGCAGAUUUACUUAGUUUUAUUUUUAUUAUUGUUAUUAUUAUUAUUAUUAUGAUUAUUAUUACUUGUGUUUAUGAUUUUUUAUUUUUGUUUUAUUGAUAAAGGUUUGUAUGUUAUGUUUGUUUUAUUUUUGCACAUUUGUAUGUGUUGAUAUAAAUAAAUAUGAAUUGAUACACAUUUAUGACCCUGGACAACAAAACCAGUCAUAAGUAUUAUGGGUACAUUUGCAGAAAUAGCCAAAAUUGCAUUGCAUGGGUCAAAAUUAUCAAAUUUUCUUUCAUGCCAAAAAUCAUUAGAACAUUAAGUAAAGAUCAUGUUCCAUGAAGAUAUCUCCUACCAUAAGUAUAUCGAAACUGAAUGUAUUGCUAAUGUAUUGCUAUGUAUUGCUAAUAACUUUGCAAUUUUCUCAAUAUUUAGAUUUUUUUGCACCCUCAGAUUCCAGAUUUUCAAAUAGUUGUUCUAUCCUAUCAAACCACAUAUUAAUAGAAAGCUUAUUUAUUGAGCUUUCAGAUGAUGUUUACAUUUAAAUACAAAAAAACUUGACCCUUAUGACGAUUUUGUGGACCAGAGUCACAUUUGUUGGUUUUGAAUUCAGUGUACAUCUUGAAAAUAUGUCAGUUGUAUGUGCAUAUUUGUGUGUUUUGAAUGUAUUAUAUUUUCACAUUCUUGUACACUUAUUUUGUAAACAUUUGCAGUAUGACUGUUUUACAUUUAAAAAUAUAUUUGUAAAAAAAUUAUUUGCAUAUUUAAAUAAACAAAAUAUUUAUUUGAA